UUUACGGAGAGUUUGAUCCUGGCUCAGGACGAACGCUGGCGGCGUGCUUAACACAUGCAAGUCGAGCGGUAAGGC
rnacentral:ncRNA from 1 species